rnacentral:lncRNA from 1 species
AUAGAGGUUAAAGUCCGAUAAAGUCAUGGUCAAGGACAGUCUUUACUCUCUGGCAUAUCUUCGGUCCUAUAGUUUCAAUAAAAAUAAAAUGUAAAAUCUUUGUCUGUUAAUAAUAUUCGCAAGCACGUGUGUGAAUAAUGAAAACUUGAUGCGCUAGCUGUUUUAAAUUACAAGCUAACGAAAAUAAUAACAUUUCUUUUUACAAGUUCCCACAAGAUGAAACUCUCCGAAAGGUAUGGUGUAAUACAAAUUUUUCAUCUGCUAAAACAUUAGUCCCCUAUAGUCAACAUUUUUCGAAGUGAUGGUUUUUCUAUCCUUGUGAUGGCACAAAUCGGCAAAAACAAAUAGAAAGGAUCGCUUCCAAUAAAAUAUCGAUUUGCGCAGAAAAGAGGAUAAACAAAAAU